UACGGGAGGCAGCAGUGGGGAAUAUUGCACAAUGGGCGCAAGCCUGAUGCAGCCAUGCCGCGUGUAUGAAGAAGGGCCUUCGGGUUGUAAAGUACUUUCAGUCGUGAGGAAGGUGUUAAGGUUAAUAACCUUAGCAAUUGACGUUAGCGACAGAAGAAGCACCGGCUAACUCCGUGCCAGCAGCCGCGGUAAUACGGAGGGUGCGAGCGUUAAUCGGAAUUACUGGGCGUAAAGGGCACGCAGGCGGUUAAUUAAGUUGGAUGUGAAAUCCCCGGGCUUAACCUGGGAAUGGCAUUCAAGACUGGUUAGCUAGAGUCUUGUAGAGGGGGUAGAAUUCCAUGUGUAGCGGUGAAAUGCGUAGAGAUGUGGAGGAAUACCGGUGGCGAAGGCGGCCCCUGGGACAAAGGACUGACGCUCGAUGUGCGAAAGCGUGGGGAGCAAACAGGAUUAGAUACC
rnacentral:rRNA from 1 species